rnacentral:rRNA from 1 species
UACAGAGGGGGCAAGCGUUGUUCGGAAUUACUGGGCGUAAAGUGUGCGCAGGCGGCCGCACAAGUCGAGUGUGAAAGCCCCGGGCUUAACUUGGGAAUUGCGCUCGAAACUACGUGGCUGGAGUGUGGCAGAGGAAGGUGGAAUUCCACGUGUAGCGGUGAAAUGCGUAGAGAUGUGGAGGAACACCGAUGGCGAAGGCAGCCUUCUGGGCCAACACUGACGCUCAUGCACGAAAGCGUGGGGAGCAAACAGG